rnacentral:misc_RNA from 1 species
GAUGAAGAACGUAGCGAAAUGCGAUAAGUAAUGUGAAUUGCAGAAUUCAGUGAAUCAUCGAAUCUUUGAACGCACAUUGCGCCCCCUGGUAUUCCGGGGGGCAUGCCUGUCCGAGCGUCAUUACAACCCUCAAGCUCAGCUUGGUAUUGGGCCCCGCCGCUCCGGCGGGCCCUAAAGUCAGUGGCGGUGCCGUCCGGCUCCGAGCGUAGUAAUUCUUCUCGCUCUGGAGGUCCGGUCGUGUGCUCGCCAGCAACCCCCAAUUUUUUUCAGGUUGACCUCGGAUCAGGUAGGGAUACCCGCUGAACUUAAGCAUAUCAGUAAGCGGAGGA